GCCAUUUUCUUCCUCCUUCCUCCUUGAACAGCGCCCAUUGUGGUUAGAUAGCUAGUGAGUCCUGGGCAGAGACAAAAUAGCUGCAUGCUCCCGUUUCCUCCAGCGGCUGCUGCUGCUGCUCAGGGGCUGGGAAAUCCGCAGUGCAUCAGCCAUGUUAUGGCGACAGACUGAAAGCAGGGAGUGGCCCUGCAGGAGGAGGUGGGCUCUGCGGUCCCCUCCUGGAGGCAGCCUUGAGCGCAGGCAGGAGGUCUCCUCUCCUCCCCAGACAGGGCUGGAUGUCGGGGUGUCCCCACAUAUCAAGGUGGUUCUUGCAGGAUGACAACCAGGUCCAUCCAGGUCCAAAGCGGAGAGAGCACAGACCUCACCUCCAGAUGGAGAAGGUCAGCAUCACGUUGCAAGAAGAACAUGGGAGAUAAACUGUCAUGGCCACCUUUGGAAAAUACAAUCUGGCUCAUCCUCUAAGGUCUCUCAGCUUUUGUCCUGGCCCAAGUGCCCUUCCCAGCUGCUGCUAGCGAGUGCUUCUUAUUCAAACAAGCCUGGGCCCCUUGAGCAUCUCGUAGUCCUGCCAGAGUCUGUGCCAUUCCCUUGACUAUGUUAUUCGUUCAACUUGGCGUUUUAUCUGAGGAGCCGUCCUGUGGCAGGAAGUGGAAGGGAGUGCUGUCUGGAGAUUAAACUGCAGAAAUGGACUGUGACUCUUCUGGAUUCCUGUCAUGGUUCUGCUUUCAUAGCCUCGAGGAAGUAACUUGAUCAACCAGAACACAUACAGAGCCGCCAUGGCUGGCCACUGUGCAUAAUUAGCAAGAUCAUUAAGAAACCUACCAAAUCCAUUGCAUAGCGACCGUACUGGACAGAGAAGAACUGCCCCACAGAGUUUCCAAGGAGUGACUGGUGGAUUCAAACUGCUGAACUUUUGGUCAGCAGCCGAGCUCUUAACCACUGCACCACUAGGUACCCUGUAUGUUGAUGCUUGUGCAAAAUUUAGCUGUACAUGAGUACACGGCUCAAAUGGGUAAGUGCAUGAACAUUACAUGAUGAUGUCCAGCUGUCUCCUAGACUGUAAGAUCUUUUAGGGCAGGAGCAGUAUCUGUCUUAUUUAUAUUUGUACCCCUGGUGUCUGGCACAAUAAAUAUUUGUUGAAUAAAUAAAUAUAUAAAAUUUAAAAUGUGGAAUAUAGAAUUCUGAAGAUAUUUGAAUUCUAGAGCAGCCAAG